AAUCACAAGUGCCUAGAUCUCAUGGCUUUGAUCAAUAAUUGAGUUAUGUCGUGGCGUGUCAGCUAGAUGUCAUAGCAUGUCAGCUAGAUGUCAUGGUGUGUCAGCUAAAUGUCAUGGCAUGUCAGCUAGAUGUCACGGUGUGCCAGCUAGAUGUCAUGGUGUGUCAGCUAGAUGUCAUGGCAUGUCAGGUUGGAAAGGAAGGAAAUCCUGAAGUGAGGCAGGUCGCACAUGUUACUACUUUGGGGAAACCCAUGAGUACAGGAAUCGUGCUGACAAAGCAAGAAACAUAAUUUGAGCAAAC